GCUCCUGUAGACCAAUUGGAAGAGUCACCUGCUUCAAACCCAGGGUGUUGGCGGUUCGAAUCCGCCCAGGAGUA
rnacentral:tRNA from 1 species